UACGUAGGGUGCGAGCGUUAAUCGGAAUUACUGGGCGUAAAGCGCGCGCAGGCGGUUCUUCAAGUCAGCGGUGAAAGCCCGGAGCUCAACUCCGGAACUGCCAUUGAAACUGUAGAACUUGAGGAUGAGAGAGGUGAGUGGAAUUCCCAGUGUAGAGGUGAAAUUCGUAGAUAUCGGGAGGAACACCGGUGGCGAAGGCGGCGACCUGGGUGGAUACUGACGCUGAGGUGCGAAAGCGUGGGGAGCAAACAGG
rnacentral:rRNA from 1 species